UAGUCCACGCCGUAAACGAUGGAUACUAGCUGUCCGGAAUCUUGAAUUCUGGGCGGCCAAGCGAAAGUGAUAAGUAUCCCACCUGGGGAGUACGUUCGCAAGAAUGAAACUCAAAGGAAUUGACGGGGGCCCGCACAAGCGGUGGAGCAUGUGGUUUAAUUCGAUGAUACGCGAGGAACCUUACCAGGGCUUAAAUGCAUAUUGACAGGUCUAGAGAUAGAUUUUCCUUCGGGCAAUUUGCAAGGUGCUGCAUGGUUGUCGUCAGCUCGUGCCGUGAGGUGUCAGGUUAAGUCCUAUAACGAGCGCAACCCCUGCCGUUAGUUGCCAGCAUGUUAUGAUGGGGACUCUAACGGGACUGCCGGUGCAAACCGUGAGGAAGGUGGGGAUGACGUCAAAUCAUCACGGCCCUUACGUCCUGGGCCACACACGUGCUACAAUGGGCUGUACAGAGGGUCGCCAGCUAGCAAUAGUGAGCUAAUCCCAGAAAGCCGGUCGUAGUCCGGAUUG
rnacentral:rRNA from 1 species